AAGCCUGCCAAAUACGGAGGAGAGACUCGGCUUGCCUCCCAGCUCCACACAAGCUCACUGUCCCGACAGAGCCAAACACCCAGAGCAAACUCCGGCAACCUCCCUCCUCCAAACUCCUCGAACUUCCAGCCCUAGUCUCGCAGAAAAUUGGACCCCAGGCAUUCCACUCUGGAUGAUCCUGUACCACAUCUUGCAACUGAUCUUAAGUUCUUCAGAAAGACCUUAAGAAUGUCCUUGCUUCUUCUGACCUCCAUGUGAACACUUGCCUUGUGUGAAUUCUCUGUAAAGUACUCUUUAAGAAGCUGGUUUAGCCUCCUCAGACCAAUUCUGCCCAAGAAGUUACUAGUCAUGAUUUUGAAGCCACUAAUUCUUGCGGGCUGAACUCAACCCACAAUAUCUCUUUGGCUGCAAGAAAAAUCAAUUUUAAAAUGCCAGAGAUCUGCAGAUUGCUUUGGUCUCUGAAUGCAUGCCUGUUCCUACAAUUGUAAAACAGCCAUUCACUCCAAGGCAGCACCUAUCCUUGAGAAAGAAGAUGAGAACUGUGGGAGGCCAAAGGCCCUAGGAAAUAAAUUGGAAAGGAAUGUCUGCUAACCAGAAAGGAAUUUAGUGUUGAUCCUGAAAUUUCAAAAGAAAAUUGUACCUCUAGACUUCAAAUAUUUGAUAUGAAGUAAAUAGAGAGAGAUGAUUCUACUUCAGAACCCCUCUUGGACACUCAGUUACAUGCCUCCUUCUACUAAGGUAAAAAUUGCAGUGGAGUGGUACUUCUAGAUCUAAUUAAGCAAUAUAUCCCUGUAACUGGGCCAAGGUUUAAACUUACAUG